rnacentral:rRNA from 1 species
AUGUGCACUAGGGAUAGGGAUCUCUGGCAUAUGCGGUGCUCACUCAUAUGCAACUGGGCGGUUGAGCUUCACCUGCCACAUCGGGUGUUCCGCCAGUUUGGUUUGUUCCAGUCAUUUCUGCCGGAGUGGCAGGACACGGACAAGGUGCUACACGGGUUGGAUAGGAAAAAGCAGCAGAAGAUCAAGGAUUGGGCCAAGCAUCACAGGAAGUAUGUCGUAGAGUUCGCGCUUAGUGUGGAGCAAGCUAGGGCUGGAAAACGAGCCCAGCUUCGUGAGCACUGCCCGAUCGUGUUCAACAACUAUCUCACAUGGUUUCUUGAAAAUACCCGUGUGGAGGUAUGCAAGCCGGCGUAUGCUGAUGAGAUCUUGGAAGAACCGACCGUUUUUGAUGAUCUAGCCCAGCACCAGUACAACUCAUUAGUCAGGAAAGGCAACUCAGUGAUCCCUGUGGGGCCAAUGAUGAACUUUGUGCGUGCCCAGAUCAAGAAAGCAGCUGAUGAGACCGAGACUAUUCUGGAAACAACCCCGAUUGGCAAAAGCGAUGGGGAAGGUGCACUUCGAGCAUUCAUUAAGGUGAAUUCUUCGAUGGGAGAGAACCGAACCGUGAAGCUAAUGCAGAAGAAUUGA